rnacentral:rRNA from 1 species
GUAGGUGGCAAGCGUUGUCCGGAAUUAUGGGCGUAAAGCGCGCGCAGGUGGUUCUUUAAGUCUGAUGUGAAAGCCCCCGGGCUCAACCCGGGGAGGGUCAUUGGAAACUGGGGAACUUGAGUGCAGGAGAGGAAAGUGGAAUUCCACGUGUAGCGGUGAAAUGCGUAGAUAUGUGGAGGAACACCAGUGGCGAAGGCGACUUUCUGGCCUGUAACUGACACUGAGGCGCGAAAGCGUGGGGAGCAAACAGGAUUAGAUACCCUGGUAGUCCACGCCGUAAACGAUGAGUGCUAAGUGUUGGGGGGUUUCCGCCCCUCAGUGCUGCAGCUAACGCAUUAAGCACUCCGCCUGGGGAGUACGGUCGCAAAGACUG